UCCCCAACUCGGAUGAUAAUCCGAGCAAAAGAACCACAUUGUUGAUUAUUGUAUUUCUGAUAGUAAUAAGAUGUCCUUCUGUUAAUGGUUUUGUUGUUGUAUCAGUCCCUGAACCAGUUGUAGGAGCAUUGGAGGGAAUGAAUGUGAACUUAACUUGUGUUUUUACAGAUGACCAGAGAGCUGGAGCCAGGGAGGUGACCGUAUAUUGGAAAAGAGGGAACGGGAACAGUGCCGAAAAUCACAAUGCUGUCACGACUUGGGAUAAGGAUGCACAAAUUGAUGUAUCAUAGGUAUGAAUAGACGAGAGCAAAUGCACAGUCGACGACUGAUGAAUGCAAUGACUCGAAGUCCAGCAACACCACCGCCCCGUACGAAGAGAACAGACAUGCAAAUGAAGCUGAAAUGAAGACUUGAGCAUUCCUGCAAAUCUAAGAUUGAGGAAUGCUCAAAAGGGGGGACUUGUUGCAGUGAGUUAUUCUAGUAUUCAAAUAAGAAUAGCAAAAUUAUGUAUUAGACGUAGUUAUGCUAAGGAUUGUAACCCAAGUAGGCCCUUGGCACAAUAUAUGUGAACUAAAACCAGUGUUGCAAGAAAUCAGUAGAGCAUGGUUAUCUAAAGAAUGUGCAGUAGAGGAAGAAAUUGUCAUCUACAUGAUGUAUGUCCCUAAGGAAUGUUCUGUUAGAGAUACAAUGUAACCGUUAGUCAAGGAAAGCUUAGGGAAGUAUAAAAAUCUUGUAAGUUUGUUGGGAAGCUGGGACUCUGAUUUUGGGACGCUAGUCCGCAGAGACCCCCAGGGCCCUCAAUAAAGCACCGCAUAAAACAACUUUGUUGUUUUGUGUUUUACUCUCUUUGGAUACGGGCAGCAAUUGCCCAGAGGCAGGAAAGGGACUCUCUCCCCCGAGGAGAAGCAGGUCCUUUCCAGGCAGGAGCAAAUACAUGGCUGUCAAGAGAGAGUUGUUGCUGUUGUAAUUUUCCUUAUAAAUAGUAUUACUGUCCAUUCUCUGUUCACUAUUGUUGCUGUACCUGUUUGUUCCAUAUCUGGUUGCUGUUCCCAUUAAAUUGUUCUUAUUCCAGGCCA